rnacentral:rRNA from 1 species
CAGUCGCCGCGGUAAUGCGUAGGUGGCGAGCGUUGUCCGGAUUUAUUGGGCGUAAAGGGAGUGUAGGCGGUCUUUUAAGUCUGAUGUGAAAGCCCACGGCUCAACCGUGGAGGGUCAUUGGAAACUGGGAGACUUGAGUGCAGAAGAGGAGAGCGGAAUUCCAUGUGUAGCGGUGAAAUGCGUAGAUAUAUGGAGGAACACCAGUGGCGAAGGCGGCUCUCUGGUCUGUAACUGACGCUGAGGCUCGAAAGCGUGGGGAGCAAACAGGAUUAGAUACCCCUGUAGUCCCUGUCUCUUAUAU